UACAGAGGGCUCAAGCGUUGUUCGGAUUCAUUGGGCGUAAAGGGCGCGUAGGCUGCGGGGCAAGUCGGGUGUGAAAUCUCAGAGCUCAACUCUGAAACUGCACUCGAUACUGCUUUGCUUGAGGACUGGAGAGGAGAUUGGAAUUCACGGUGUAGCAGUGAAAUGCGUAGAUAUCGUGAGGAAGACCAGUGGCGAAGGCGGAUCUCUGGACAGUUCCUGACGCUGAGACACGAAGGCCAGGGGAGCAAACGGG
rnacentral:rRNA from 1 species